rnacentral:tRNA from 1 species
GGAGGGUGUAGCUCAGUGAUAGAGCACAUGCUUAGUGCACGAGGUCCUGGGUUCAAUCCCCAGCACCUCCA